rnacentral:rRNA from 1 species
AAUCAACGCUGGCGGCGUGCCUAACACAUGCAAGUCGAGCGAGAAAAGGGGAGCAAUCCCCUGAGUACAGCGGCGCACGGGUGAGUAACACGUGGGUAAUCUGCCCUAGAGUGGGGAAUAACACCGGGAAACCGGUGCUAAUACCGCAUACGAUCACAAGAUCUGCGGAUUUUGUGAUGAAAGGAGCAAUUCGCUCUGGGAGGAGCCCGCGGCUGAUUAGCUAGUUGGUGAGGUAACGGCUCACCAAGGCAACGAUCAGUAUCCGGUCUGAGAGGACGGUCGGACACACUGGAACUGAGACACGGUCCAGACUCCUACGGGAGGCAGCAGUGGGGAAUUUUUGGCAAUGGGGGCAACCCUGACCAAGCAACGCCGCGUGGGUGAUGAAGUCUCUUGGGACGUAAAACCCUUUCGACGGGGACGAAACCGCAAGGUUGACGGUACCCGUAGAAGAAGCCCCGGCUAACUACGUGCCAGCCGCCGCCGUAAUAC